GUGGGGAAUCUUGCGCAAUGGGCGAAAGCCUGACGCAGCCAUGCCGCGUGAAUGAUGAAGGUCUUAGGAUUGUAAAAUUCUUUCACCGGGGACGAUAAUGACGGUACCCGGAGAAGAAGCUCCGGCUAACUUCGUGCCAGCAGCCGCGGUAAUACGAAGGGGGCUAGCGUUGCUCGGAAUUACUGGGCGUAAAGGGCGCGUAGGCGGACAGCUUAGUCAGAGGUGAAAGCCCAUGGCUCAACCUUGGAAUUGCCUUUGAUACUGGCUGUCUUGAGUUUGGGAGAGGUGAGUGGAACUCCGAGUGUAGAGGUGAAAUUCGUAGAUAUUCGGAAGAACACCAGUGGCGAAGGCGACUCACUGGCCCAAUACUGACGCUGAGGCGCGAAAGCGUGGGGAGCAAACAGGAUUAGAAACCCUGGUAGUCC
rnacentral:rRNA from 1 species